rnacentral:rRNA from 1 species
AGUGGGGAAUAUUGGACAAUGGGCGCAAGCCUGAUCCAGCCAUGCCGCGUGAGUGAUGAAGGCCUUAGGGUUGUAAAGCUCUUUCGGCGGGGACGAUAAUGACGGUACCCGCAGAAGAAGCCCCGGCUAACUUCGUGCCAGCAGCCGCGGUAAUACGAAGGGGGCUAGCGUUGCUCGGAAUCACUGGGCGUAAAGGGCGCGUAGGCGGACAUUUAAGUCGGGGGUGAAAGCCCAGGGCUCAACCCUGGAAUUGCCUCCGAUACUGGGUGUCUCGAGACCGGAAGAGGUGAGUGGAACUGCGAGUGUAGAGGUGAAAUUCGUAGAUAUUCGCAAGAACACCAGUGGCGAAGGCGGCUCACUGGUCCGGUUCUGACGCUGAGGCGCGAAAGCGUGGGGAGCAAA